CCUACGGGUGGCUGCAGUGAGGAAUAUUGGUCACUGGACGAGAGUCUGAACCAGCCAAGUAGCGUGAAGGAUGACUGCCCUAUGGGUUGUAAACUUCUUUUAUAUGGGAAUAAAACGUUCCACGUGUGGGAUUUUGUAUGUACCAUAUGAAUAAGGAUCGGCUAACUCCGUGCCAGAAGCCGCGGUAAUACGGAGGAUCCGAGCGUUAUCCGGAUUUAUUGGGUUUAACGGGAGCGUAGGUGGAUUGUUAAGUCAGUUGUGAAAGUUUGCGGCUCAACCGUAAAAUUGCAGUUGAAACUGGCAGUCUUGAGGACAGUAGAGGUGGGCGGAAUUCGUGGUGUAGCGGUGAAAUGCUUAGAUAUCACGAAGAACUCCGAUUGCGAAGGCAGUUCACUGGACUGCAACUGACACUGAGGCUCGAAAGUGUGGGUAUCAAACAGGAUUAGAUACCCCAGUAGUC
rnacentral:rRNA from 1 species